rnacentral:rRNA from 1 species
ACCCUUUAAUGUUUGAUGUUCUAACGUGGACCCGUAAUCCGGGUUGCGGACAGUGUCUGGUGGGUAGUUUGACUGGGGCGGUCUCCUCCUAAAGAGUAACGGAGGAGCACGAAGGUUGGCUAAUCCUGGUCGGACAUCAGGAGGUUAGUGCAAUGGCAUAAGCCAGCUUGACUGCGAGCGUGACGGCGCGAGCAGGUGCGAAAGCAGGUCAUAGUGAUCCGGUGGUUCUGAAUGGAAGGGCCAUCGCUCAACGGAUAAAAGGUACUCCGGGGAUAACAGGCUGAUACCGCCCAAGAGUUCAUAUCGACGGCGGUGUUUGGCACCUCGAUGUCGGCUCAUCACAUCCUGGGGCUGAAGUAGGUCCCAAGGGUAUGGCUGUUCGCCAUUUAAAGUGGUACGCGAGCUGGGUUUAGAACGUCGUGAGACAGUUCGGUCCCUAUCUGCCGUGGGCGCUGGAGAACUGAGGGGGGCUGCUCCUAGUACGAGAGGACCGGAGUGGACGCAUCACUGGUGUUCGGGUUGUCAUGCCAAUGGCACUGCCCGGUAGCUAAAUGCGGAAGAGAUAAGUGCUGAAAGCAUCUAAGCACGAAACUUGCCCCGAGAUGAGUUCUCCCUGAGACUUUAGGUCUCCUGAAGGAACGUUGAAG